AAAUAAGAAACAGAAAUGUGUAAAUAAUCCAGAAAUAAUUAUUAACCGAUUUUCACAUGACAAAUUAAAUGGUUACCUGACAUUUCUGAAUAUUAACAAUUUCGUUACUGGUUACUAUGGUUACCAGCUUCAUGUGGCCAUUUGUAUUCUUGGUUAUUCUAAUAAUAACCUGAUACUGACAGGGCCCGAUGUCAUGACAAUUUACUAUUGAUUGAUAUUGUCGCCAGCUUACAGUGCCUGUGCCUAUUUUAAUAAUAAUGCAGGACCAAAAUAACUGGGGUUCUAUGGAAUGUUUAAGGUCCUAUGCUUUUGAUCAAUAUGAUAUGGUCACCAGCUUCCUGUUGCCAUUUGUAUUCUAGGCUAUACUACUAAUAGAGUGGAACCUGGUAACCCAGUACCACAGAAAGUUUAAGCAGUGUUUGAAGAUCUACUGACAGAAGAUCUACUGACAGGAUCCCACGUAAUGACAAUUCAAUAUUUGUCUGUGUUGUCACCAGCUUACUGUGUUCAUUCUAUUCUAGGCUAUUCUGAAAUUAUAAUAGGGCCUAGAAUAGGUAACCGGGUGGGUCCCAUAGACAAUUUAUGAUGUGUUUGGGGAUGGGACCCAUUUAAUGAAAAGGUUAUUUAAAUUCCUGACCCCUAUCAUGAUAAUUUAAGUAAUGAUUCAGAAUGAAAGUAUUACAAGACUGGUUGUAUAUAUGAUCUCCGUAGACCAUUGAUUGUGUUAUGGUUUAUAUGUAAAUAAGGUUGGACUACAUCUGGAACAACCCCAUGUUUUCCAGCGAGAGUCCGGUCAUAAAUGGUUGAUUUUGGGGACAAACGAACUCUCCACUAAAAGAGAAAAGGGCUGUCUUAAUCUAGAAGAUAAAAUUAUGAAACAAAUAUGUGACCAGCUCUGGCUAAAGGAUCCUCAUGGGUCGAAUAAUGAAAAUUGAGUUAUUGAUAUUAAGAUUUUACAUUUUAUUCUGAAGGUUUGUUUUGAAAGUCUUGGAUAUGGUACUGCAUAUUAGUUGAUUCAUACGACUGAUUAAUUGCUAUUUUUUUUUUACCUAUUUAUGAUAUUGAGCUUUUCGGACAUGAACCUAUAGACAUUAUCGUGAAUUUGAGAUUUCUGCGAAAAUACAUCACUUAAAAGUGAUGUAUUUUCACAGAAAUCUCAAAUUCACGAUUUUCAUCCCACAGGAGUUCUAUACACUAUACUGAAAUACGAUGCCGGGUUGCAUGCAGAUCCUUUAUCCAGAGCUGGUCACCUAUGUAUUUUGAUAAAUGACCGCUGGGUGGCUCCUUUUUUCUUUUACAAUGAAUUCUUAUUUGAUAGAAAUUGAAUUUAUUGUAAGUGUAUUUUUUAAGAGUAUUAAAUUUUUUGUUAAAUGUCUAUGUUACAGUCAGUCAGUUGGGCUUAACGUUAUUUAUACUCCUGGACCCUAUUAAAUUGGCAGUCUCCUAUUUCUUAGGAGACCAUCAAUAGAAAGUGGGAUUAAGUACUUGCAAACCAAAUACCAAAAUGUGCAAGUUUCAAAUUAAAAUAUUGAGCCAUUCACAUAUAUAUGAUGGUUAAAUUUGCUUAAUGUGGUUACAUAACUCAUUUAGAGAUAUAUCAUGUAAGAUUUAGAUAAAGAGCUGUCUGAUCUUGCUAUAAUAGUUUUAAAAAUGAUAAUGAAAAAUGAAUAUGUUGAAAUUUUCAUUCAUAUUACUUUAUUCUGAGUGGCGACCCUACACCUUGUCACGUACAACCGGGGAUUCGAAAACCCCCCAGUUGACUCAAUGACAGACUGUAUGAUACAGUGCAGCGCGCACGUGCUAACCAUUCGGCCAUCCACCCCCCCCCCCCC